rnacentral:rRNA from 1 species
UAGGGAAUCUUCGGCAAUGGGGGCAACCCUGACCGAGCAACGCCGCGUGAGUGAAGAAGGUUUUCGGAUCGUAAAGCUCUGUUGUAAGUCAAGAACGAGUGUGAGAGUGGAAAGUUCACACUGUGACGGUAGCUUACCAGAAAGGGACGGCUAACUACGUGCCAGCAGCCGCGGUAAUACGUAGGUCCCGAGCGUUGUCCGGAUUUAUUGGGCGUAAAGCGAGCGCAGGCGGUUUGAUAAGUCUGAAGUUAAAGGCUGUGGCUCAACCAUAGUUCGCUUUGGAAACUGUCAAACUUGAGUGCAGAAGGGGAGAGUGGAAUUCCAUGUGUAGCGGUGAAAUGCGUAGAUAUAUGGAGGAGCACCGGUGGCGAAAGCGGCUCUCUGGUCUGUAACUGACGCUGAGGCUCGAAAGCGUGGGGAGCGAACAGGAUUAGAUACCCUGGUAGUCCACGCCGUAAACGAUGAGUGCUAGGUGUUAGACCCUUUCCGGGGUUUAGUGCCGCAGCUAACGCAUUAAGCACUCCGCCUGGGGAGUACGACCGCAAGGUUG